rnacentral:rRNA from 1 species
AACGAACGCUGGCGGCAUGCCUAACACAUGCAAGUCGAACGAAACCGUCGGGUCUAGUGGCGCACGGGUGCGUGACGCGGGGGAACCUGCCCGUAGGUUCGGAAUAACUGCCCGAGAGGGGUGCUAAUACAGGAUAAUGUCUUCGGAGAAAAGAGUUAUCGCGUUUGGAUGGGCCCUCGUUGGUUUCGCUAGUUGGUAGUGUAAAAGCCUAGCAAUGCGACGAUGCAUAGCUGGUCUGAUAGGAUGCCCAGCCACACUGGGGCUGCGGCACGGACCAGAAUGGUACGGAAGGGUGCAGUAUAGAGUAUUAGGGACUGGGCGAAAGCCUGGUACAGCAAUGCGGCGUAAGAGGGGCAGGCGUUAGGGUUGUAAAGCCCUUUUAGCCGGGACGUGAGUGACAGUACCGGGUGAAGAAGCACCGGCUAACUCCGUG